GAAGUUAGUGCUAUUGCUUCAGAAACAAGAAAACAGCAGACCGGGAAUCCCCGUCGAGGAGCCAACCAAGUAACCAGCGCAAGCCACGGUGGUGUCCACAAAAGCCGACAUCAUAGUAUAGGAUAGGGACUUUAUACAGGACUCAUGUUUUCUUUUCUUUUCUUUCAUUUACAUAUUAUAAUUGGUUACGGUUUAUAUGUUUAAAGAACUUUGAUGAUUUAGGUAUUUUUGUAAAUUGUUACCAAUUUAGGGGAGCCAUGUAGCUGUUUCCAUAGUAAUCAGCGUAUUYAGCAAUUAUUUGAUUGACAAGAGAUUAACUUAAUCCCUUAGCGUUCUACCUUUUUAAUUCAGUAUAGUGUAACACUCGUUUGAAGUAAGACGAACUUUCGGGAUUAAUAUCUUUAUGUAAUUGUUUURACUGACCCGCCAACGUUGUUGACCAGAUCAUUACCAGAUUCAAUAGUGCAAGAAUAAAAAGGAUUUGCGUACUCAA